rnacentral:rRNA from 1 species
UAGGGAAUCUUCGACAAUGGACGAAAGUCUGACCGAGCAACGCCGCGUGAGUGAAGAAGGUUUUCGGAUCGUAAAACUCUGUUGUUAGAGAAGAACAAGGACGUUAGUAACUGAACGUCCCCUGACGGUAUCUAACCAGAAAGCCACGGCUAACUACGUGCCAGCAGCCGCGGUAAUACGUAGGUGGCAAGCGUUGUCCGGAUUUAUUGGGCGUAAAGCGAGCGCAGGCGGUUUCUUAAGUCUGAUGUGAAAGCCCCCGGCUCAACCGGGGAGGGUCAUUGGAAACUGGGAGACUUGAGUGCAGAAGAGGAGAGUGGAAUUCCAUGUGUAGCGGUGAAAUGCGUAGAUAUAUGGAGGAACACCAGUGGCGAAGGCGGCUCUGUGGUCUAUAACUGACGCUGAGGCUCGAAAGCGUGGGGAGCAAACAGG